rnacentral:rRNA from 1 species
AGUGAACGCUGGCGGUAGGCCUAACACAUGCAAGUCGAACGGCAGCACAGUAAGAGCUUGCUCUUACGGGUGGCGAGUGGCGGACGGGUGAGGAAUACAUCGGAAUCUACCUUUUCGUGGGGGAUAACGUAGGGAAACUGACGCUAAUACCGCAUACGACCUACGGGUGAAAGCAGGGGAUCUUCGGACCUUGCGCGAUUGAAUGAGCCGAUGUCGGAUUAGCUAGUUGGCGGGGUAAAGGCCCACCAAGGCGACGAUCCGUAGCUGGUCUGAGAGGAUGAUCAGCCACACUGGAACUGAGACACGGUCCAGACUCCUACGGGAGGCAGCAGUGGGGAAUAUUGGACAAUGGGCGCAAGCCUGAUCCAGCCAUACCGCGUGGGUGAAGAAGGCCUUCGGGUUGUAAAGCCCUUUUGUUGGGAAAGAAAAGCAGCAGGUUAAUACCCCGCUGUUCUGACGGUACCCAAAGAAUAAGCACCGGCUAACUUCGUG